CCUACGGGAUGCAGCAGUGAGGAAUAUUGGUCAAUGGACGGAAGUCUGAACCAGCCAUGCCGCGUGCAGGAAGACGGCUCUAUGAGUUGUAAACUGCUUUUGUACAAGGGUAAACCUGAAUACGUGUAUUCAGCUGAAAGUACUGUACGAAUAAGGAUCGGCUAACUCCGUGCCAGCAGCCGCGGUAAUACGGAGGAUCCAAGCGUUAUCCGGAUUUAUUGGGUUUAAAGGGUGCGUAGGCGGAUUGAUAAGUUAGAGGUGAAAUGUCCGAGCUUAACUCGGGAACUGCCUCUAAUACUGUUGAGCUAGAGAGUAGGUGCGGUAGGCGGAAUGUAUGGUGUAGCGGUUAAAUGCUUAGAGAUCAUACAGAACACCGAUUGCGAAGGCAGCUUACCAAUCUAUAUCUGACGUUGAGGCACGAAAGCGUGGGGAGCAAACAGGAUUAGAUACCCCGGUAGUC
rnacentral:rRNA from 1 species